UCUUAAAUGACAGAAUACAAGUACCUUUCCAAAAAUACAACACAGCAUUUAUUGUGUCUCAACUCAAGUCUCUCAGUGCAACAGAACUGGUCUCGAGAAACUUGGUAAAAGCUUUCAACUUCUUGGGGCCAGAAAGGCAUCACUGACUGAAAUAAAAAACCUACAGUUAAAGCUUUUAUACCAAAUUUAUACAUAGAUCAAGUUCUGCUCUCUGACACAUAGGCAAGAGAGCAAGAGGGGGUAGACGAGGACUUGGAUAGAUGCAUUUUUGAGUUGAUAACCUCUGCAUCUGAAAUACAGUUUAGUGAAACAGGAAUGUGGGUGUGGAACUUCUUUUCCACAGAGAAUACAGAUGUGGUGGCAGGAGAACAAAGUCGCAGGACAUGUGCUAGAUAUACAGUUACUCGCACUCUGCCUUCUUUAUUAAAUGGAAUUUAACAUCACACUGUCAGCCACGAAAGUGCAUGUAGGUCUCUUGGGUACAUGGUUAUCCUCCCCAGAAAAACACCCACUGUCUGUUGUUCUCACCAUUAAUUCAAAGUUAUAGCGAUGGUUAACACAGAGAACAGGUUAGUUUGCAAGUGCGGUCUAACAAACGAACUCACAUAAAAUUUACAUGUGAUGUAAUUGGCUGAUAAUAGGCCCUUAAUGGAGGGGCUCAAGAAAGGAAGCAUAUUCUUUUGCACACAUAAAGGCGCCAUUCAGGAAGAAUAGAUUUGUUUUCACUUGGCCUUUCUCAGUGAGGAACCACCUGUGCAAAUACGGAGCUCCAAUUCGAGGACAAGCGGGGGUUUUAUGGUUCCAGGAAGAUUUCAUCUCCAUGGCAACCUCUCUGGUUCCAAACAGAGAAUGUUAUGUUUUCGGAGUCAACAUCUCAGCCGCAGCAGCAGACUCCACUCAGGCUUGCGGGGCGUCUGAGCAGUCUUUCUUCGACCAUCGUUAUUCACUGGGGCUGCUUCUGCCAAGUCACUGCUGGAUGCUGAGUCCAGGUCUGACAUAUUCCGCGAUGACUCCAUCUUCUGGGUGCCAAGUUUUCAAAAAAUGAACCCCCCUUGGAGGAAAUGACUUCGCCUGCACUUUUAAACUGGAAAAGAGCCACCCUAGGGUUGGCAUGACUCCAGGAUAACACGGCUAUUGAGCACCUCUCCUGUGACAGGUGCUGAGAAGGUGCUGGGGACAGACCCACUGGGCCACAGAUCCAUGCGGUCUCAGCCCUGAGGAGGUGGAAGAUCUGGUCCUCUGCACCGUGCCCUAAUUUCUCCAACACAUGUGAAUUAAGCCAGUCACCUCAUACUGUAUCAGCUCCUUCAUCUAUGAAAACCAAGGCUCUGAACUGAAUAGCACAGGGAGCUUCUCUUAGGCUACUGUUGCUCAAGACAUAAUUCUCCACAUUUACGAACUUACCAGUAACUAGGCUUUGAGUCCUGCAGGGCACAAGUGUCUCAUCUGGGAAGAUGAUCCAGCAAGAUCACACCAAAUUUAUUUUAUUUUUUUACAUUGGGAAUUCAGACUUUUAGGGCUUCAGAUGGAAAACAGCCUCUUCCCUUACUGCCCAAGCAAUUCCAAACGCUGUCUUUUCGCUCUGGUUGAACACUCAAUUCUUGCCAAAAGAUGCCUGAGUCAACACCAAACAGACAACUUCCUGCCUUGAAUCCUGGCGCGGUGCUGUUCUUCUCCAGCACGCUCUGAAAGCCACCACAAAUGUUUCCACCUGAGGAAAAACACCGCCCCCCUCACCUCCUUAGAUGCAAUAAUUGCAAAUGUUUUGAAAACAACAGAUCACCUUGAAAGAAGAAGCAACAACAAAAAGCCAUUUGUUUCUUCUACCAUGACUGGCUCAUUUGUUGGACACUGGGGCUUUGGGUCUGGAGAGGAAAGGCUGCAAACAAAUGUUUCUUAUCAGAGCAAGUAUUCUGAUACUCAGGAAAAUACCUCACAGAUUCACCACAGGUGUGGCAAACUAUUUAGCUUGAAGGUUCUACAGCUGCACUGCACAUCUUCUGUCUCCUGAGGCUAACUCCAUCCUUCCUCCUGUUGAUUCUUUUUUUUAAUCUUAAAGAGAAAAAAAAAAAAAA